GACGAACGCUGGCGGCGUGCUUAACACAUGCAAGUCGAACGGAAAGGCCCUGCUUUUGUGGGGUGCUCGAGUGGCGAACGGGUGAGUAACACGUGAGUAACCUGCCCUUGACUUUGGGAUAACUUCAGGAAACUGGGGCUAAUACCGGAUAGGAGCUCCUGCUGCAUGGUGGGGGUUGGAAAGUUUCGGCGGUUGGGGAUGGACUCGCGGCUUAUCAGCUUGUUGGUGGGGUAAUGGCUUACCAAGGCUUUGACGGGUAGCCGGCCUGAGAGGGUGACCGGCCACAUUGGGGCUGAGAUACGGCCCAGACUCCUACGGGAGGCAGCAGUGGGGAAUAUUGCACAAUGGGCGGAAGCCUGAUGCAGCAACGCCGCGUGCGGGAUGACGGCCUUCGGGUUGUAAACCGCUUUCGCCUGUGACGAAGCGUGAGUGACGGUAAUGGGUAAAGAAGCACCGGCUAACUACGUG
rnacentral:rRNA from 1 species